AGGAACUUUUUAGGGACUUUUUUUAGUUUCCGGUACUAAAAAGUCGUGAACCAAACACCGACCACACAUCUUUCUUACACACCCCAAAAUAAAAUCCUCUUUCCCUGCCCUUGCCCUUGCCCGAUCCCCUUUCUCACUCCAAAAUUUCUGCCGCCGGUAGCUCUCAUCAGCUUGAUUCCUUGAUUCCCUGCCUUGAGCUUUGCUCGUCCUCACCAGCAGCUACCCCGGCAGCUCGAUUCACUGGUGCGGCCACAGGGUGAUCUUCGACGGCGGCUGGUUUGUCUCCUCGUACGACUCCUCGGUCUCCUCCUAGGCUGGUAAACGGCGAUGGAGGGGUAGCAGGGGCCAAGGUGUAGCUGCGCAAGCGAGGAGGCGAGAUCAUCAAUCUGCACGGGGUUGUUGCUGUCAAUAUCCGUGCAGGUGAUGUUCGCGUGGAUUUCGUCUUCCGCAGCUGCUUUGAUCCAUUUUAGUAUGAGGAUGGUGUAGACGUUUUCUGCCCCUAGAGCGCCGGCCAGACACAUCCUCCACAUCGGCAACAUUCUUCGAAGUUUGAAGUGUGUUGCCCUACAGCAAGAAAUAAGGAGAAGACACAUGAACUGGGAAUGAUUGGACGCGGGGAGAGAAAAAGGAAAUGUUACCUACGGAAAGAGUAGUAAAGCUCCAGCCUCUAGGUCAAUAUUGGCCUGUGUAUUGUGUGUAUCUCAAGUCUAAACUCUCACCUGGUUGGUCUUGUAAUCCCCCUCUAGCUGGCUGACAGUGGGCAUGCAACAACUCUAUUCACCUGAAAUUGCUGGCAUGCAUGAAGGAUAGGCUUUGAGACCAUCAAUCGUAUGUAUCCUGCUGAUCUGCUGAGUUGUGGUGCAUACCAUCAAUCGUAUGUAUCCUGCUGAUCUGCUGAGUUGAGGUGCAUGAUGUAUGAUAACAUGCUGAUCUGCUGAGUUGA